UACGUUCGAGAAUUUAAACAAGCUCGCGCAGCCUUCGAGCCAUUCGCACAAUUUGUGUAGUACGUACUACGGGCUAUGCCCGUAAUAUAUACGCUUACCGCGAUC